UUGAACGCUGGCGGCAUGCCUUACCCCUGCAAGUCGCACGGCAGCACGGGUGCUUGCACCUGGUGGCGAGUGGCGAACGGGUGAGUAAUACAUCGGAACAUGUCCUGUAGUGGGGGAUAGCCCGGCGAAAGCCGGAUUAAUACCGCAUACGAUCUACGGAUGAAAGCGGGGGACCUUCGGGCCUCGCGCUAUAGGGUUGGCCGAUGGCUGAUUAGCUAGUUGGUGGGGUAAAGGCCUACCAAGGCGACGAUCAGUAGCUGGUCUGAGAGGACGACCAGCCACACUGGGACUGAGACACGGCCCAGACUCCUACGGGAGGCAGCAGUGGGGAAUUUUGGACAAUGGGCGAAAGCCUGAUCCAGCAAUGCCGCGUGUGUGAAGAAGGCCUUCGGGUUGUAAAGCACUUUUGUCCGGAAAGAAAUCCUUGGCCCUAAUACGGUCGGGGGAUGACGGUACCGGAAGAAUAAGCACCGGCUAACUACGUG
rnacentral:rRNA from 1 species